AAUACUGGGAACGUUUCUUGUAUACUGGUAUGUCUCAUAAUCUACCAGUAAAGAAUAACAAGACUUCUUCCUGUUGCCCAAAGACAGCGGGUGUUUCUUAACACCAAGAACGCAAAGAUCACACUUGUCGCUUGCCAUCCAAGAAUAGACCUGGGGAGCAAUGCAUCGUGGGAUUGGUCUCGUUUGGCGAAGACGCAGCCGAUGUAUCCUUCAUAUUUGGAAGGGAGCAAGAUCAACAUCUGGGGAUUUUUACCAUCCUCAGUACUUCUGAUCUUGAGUAUUGGAACUGGUCUUUGGCACUGGAAGAUGACAUCACAGAGUUGGCCUAACAGCAUGUCCUUGUCCGUUUGGAGAAAAUCCCACCAAAUACCUAACAGAGGCAGGGUUCAACACCAAACCCCAGAUGUGUGCUGCCGUCUGAUCCACAAAUCUGCGCAUUCCUGCUUCGCUAAACC